GAAAUGCGAUAAGUAAUGUGAAUUGCAGAAUUCAGUGAAUCAUCGAAUCUUUGAACGCAUCUUGCGCUCCUUGGUAUUCCUUGGAGCAUGCCUGUUUGAGUAUCAUGAAAUCUUCAAAGUAAAUCUUUUGUUAACUCAAUUGGUUUCUACUUUGGUAUUGGAGGUCUUUGCAGCUUCACACCUGCUCCUCUUUGUUCAUUAGCUGGUUCUCAGUGUUAUGCUUGGUUCCACUCGGCGUGAUAAGUUAUCUAUCGCUGAGGACACUGUAAAAGGUGGCCAAGGUAAAUGCAGAUGAACCGCUUCUAAUAGUCCAUUGACUUGGACAAUACUUUUAUGAUCUGAUCUCAAAUCAGGUAGGACUACCCGCUGAACUUAAGC
rnacentral:misc_RNA from 1 species